AAUGAACGUUGGCGGCGUGGAUUAGGCAUGCAAGUCGAGCGCUCAUAGCAAUAUGGGAGCGGCGAACGGCGUAGGAAUUCAUAGGAACGUACCCUCAGGACGGGGAUAGCUACGGGAAACUGUAGGUAAUACCCGAUGAUCUCCGCGGAGCAAAGGUGUGAUUCCGCCUGAGGAGCGGCUUAUGCGAUAUUAGCUAGUUGGUGGGGUAAUGGCCUACCAAGGCGACGAUGUCUAGGGGGUGUGAGAGCAUGGCCCCCACGACCGGAACUGAGAUACUGUCCGGACACCUACGGGUGGCUGCAGUCGAGAAUCUUCCGCAAUGGACGAAAGUCUGACGGAGCGACGCCGCGUGCGGGAUGAAGGCCCUUGGGUUGUAAACCGCUUUCGGAGGGGAUGAAAUCCUCGAGGGUUCUCCCUCGAGGUUGACAGAGCCUCAAAAGAAGCACGGGCUAAGUACGUG
rnacentral:rRNA from 1 species